UGGGCCCUACGGGGGGCAGCAGUAGGGAAUCUUCCACAAUGGACGAAAGUCUGAUGGAGCAACGCCGCGUGAGUGAAGAAGGGUUUCGGCUCGGAAAGCUCUGUUGGUAGUGGAGAAAGAUAGAGGUAGUAACUGGCCUUUAUUUGACGGGAAUUACUUAGAAAGUCACGGCUAACUACGUGCCAGCAGCCGCGGUAAUACGUAGGGGGCAAGCGUUGUCCGGAUUUAUUGGGCGUAAAGC
rnacentral:rRNA from 1 species